GUGGCAAAAUCUGGGUAAGGUCACUUGAAUGAAUUUAGCUCUUUCAUCUCUUUAACUAUACAGAAAAUUUUAACGAAAUCUUAAUCAACACAUCAUGGGCUUCAAAAGGGUGUCUCAGAUUGUCUCUAUGGUAUUCUAUUCUCUCAUAAAUCUCCAAUUAGUGAAACAUCCUAACCACAUAAAAGAAGAUAAUGUUUAAUAAGGUGUAAAAUUUGUUCUAUACAUUCUAUCUGAAAUCUGAGACACCCUUUUGUAGAUAAUGGCCAUAGGAACAACAUAUUCUAAAAUCAAGCCUCUAGGGAUACCUAUGCAGAAG
rnacentral:lncRNA from 1 species